GGAGCAAUAUACCUAGCUCUCAUUCAUUAUUUCCCUUGCUGAUAUUCUUGCAUAGCUUUUAGUUUAUGCAUUUGUCCCAAAUAAACCUAGAAAAAGCCACUUGUCGUAGGACAAGAUGAGCUGAUGAUUUGAAUCACUCCCCCACUGAGGAAGAAACCAUCUGUGGAAAAGACUGUAUAAGGUACUUCCUGGUUGAACGGUAGGGCUCUGGAGUCAGAAGUCUUGAAUUUGAAUCCCAGCCCUGAAAUGUAUCAGCUGUGUGCCCUUAGGCCAGAUAUACUUUUAUUGCACAACAUGUAUUACGUACAAGAAUAUCACAAGAUUUGGAAAUGUUAGUCCUAGAAGAGUUUGACACAACGCAAUGAUAAGACAGUAUGAAAAAUGGAGCUAUGAAUAAAAAAGAAUCCAUAAGUCCC
rnacentral:lncRNA from 10 species